GCAAUGCAAUAGAUCAUCGCAUUACCAAGUCUGCCGAUCCCUGGGGCAUGUCAAAGCUACCACAAGUUUUGGUGAUUGCAAAAAGGUAAUCAUUAAAUUGACUGCAAUGUUAAGGCUUUGAUCAUCACAAGCAUCCUAAACAUUUCAGAUCUAAGACAUGCGAAUUGUUUGUGCAAUUUGGUAACCAAUGUGGAGCAUGCAAAGCAGUGGAUAACAGAAACCAAAAAAAUAAAAAAACGAAGAUUUAAAUAUGAGACUGCAGUGAAGGAUCUUCCGAUUUUUCGUUUUCAGAAAAGUCAUAAUCUUCAAUGUAGAAUACAAGCUACUUUAAUUGAUAAAGAUUCCAGAAUUGCAGCUUUAGAAAAGGAGGUGGCUCAGUACAAAACCAAUCUGAAUUAGUGGAAGUGGAUACAAACAUAGCAAGCUAU